GCUGUGACACCCUCUUUGGGGCUCUGCGGUUCCUGGCAUCUCCAAUCUUCUGGGCGCUACUGCGUUCCCUGGUGCCAGCCAUGGAAGCUGCUUGCAAUAUUGAAGCUAUAAAGUUCUCUCUUAGCACUGCUUUGCUGUAUCUCACAGAUUUUGGUAGGCUGCAUUUCCAUGCUGAGGGAAUUCAUCACCACUAGACGGGACCUACAAGCAACACUCAAAGAGAAACUGCCUCAAAAAUGGCAAUAUCUUCUUUGUGCUUAAUGACCCUAACUUCAUGAAGACUUGGCAUAUAGGUGCAGCUCAUGCCUAUAAUUCCAGUACUUUGGGAGGCUGAGGUGGGCAGAUUGCUUGAGCUCAGGAGUUGGAAACCAGCCUGGGUAACAUGGUGAAUCCCCAACUCUACAAACAAAUACAAAAAUUAGCCAGGUGUGGUGGCAUGUACCUGUGAUCCCAGCUACUCAGGAGGCUGCACUGGGAGGGUCACAUUGAGCCUGGGAGGUCGAAGCUACAGUAAG
rnacentral:lncRNA from 1 species